UACGUAGGGGGCAAGCGUUGUCCGGAUUUAUUGGGCGUAAAGAGCUCGUAGGCGGUUCGGCAAGUCAGAUGUAAAAACUCCAGGCUCAACUUGGAGAGGCCAUCUGAUACUGCCGUGACUAGAGUCCGGUAGAGGAGCACGGAAUUCCUGGUGUAGCGGUGAAAUGCGCAGAUAUCAGGAGGAACACCAGCGGCGAAGGCGGUGCUCUGGGCCGGAACUGACGCUGAGGAGCGGAAGCGUGGGGAGCGAACAGG
rnacentral:rRNA from 1 species